rnacentral:tRNA from 1 species
GACUUCGUGGCACAACGGUAGCACAUCUGACUCCAGGACAGAAGGUUGCGUGUUCAAAUCACAUCGGCGUCA